GCCUGUUGUAUGUUUUCUGAAGUUUUCAGGAAGAAAAUGUCUUGUAGAUGCAGCUAUGGAUAUUCAUAAAUCCAAAAAAUCAAUAUAUGAGAGUUACCAUUUAGAUGUAAAAAAUAAAUUUACAUUAUUCAUGUUUAGAAAAUCCACAACAUUUUGGAUCUCACUCUGAUGUUCCUUUCAAUUAAAUUAAAGAUCAUUGAUACAAAAACAAUAAAAG